rnacentral:rRNA from 1 species
CCUACGGGGGGCAGCAGUGAGGAAUAUUGGUCAAUGGACGAGAGUCUGAACCAGCCAAGUAGCGUGAAGGAUGACUGUCCUAUGGGUUGUAAACUUCUUUUAUAUGGGAAUAAAAUGUUCCACGUGUGGGAUUUUGUAUGUACCAUAUGAAUAAGGAUCGGCUAACUCCGUGCCAGCAGCCGCGGUAAUACGGAGGAUGCGAGCGUUAUCCGGAUUUAUUGGGUUUAAAGGGAGCGUAGGUGGAUUUUUAAGUCAGUUGUGAAAGUUUGCGGCUCAACCGUAAAAUUGCAGUUGAAACUGGCAGUCUUGAGUACAGUAGAGGUGGGCGGAAUGCGUGGUGUAGCGGUGAAAUGCUUAGAUAUCACGAAGAACUCCGAUUGCGAAGGCAGUUCACUGGACUGCAACUGACACUGAGGCUCGAAAGUGUGGGUAUCAAACAGGAUUAGAUACCCGGGUAGUC